GCCACAAAUCAAUUUUCUUUCUUUUGUCAACUUUCCAUUUCAAAUUUUUGUACUUUCAUACUGGAUGGUAUAGCACUAAAAAUUGUAUGACAGUAACUUUCUAUGUCAAACAAUGUCUUGUUUCUGUUUAAUUUAUGUGUUGGUUCAGAAUAUACAUACACGUAUAACGCUUCCUGCAGAUAAAUCUCACACCUCAGAAAAAAAAUAUACUGGCAUUACAGGAAUUAUAAAAGAAUUAUAAUCUCCAAGUAUUUUACACCAUCUCCUAGUCAUAAGUAAGGUAUUAAGGGGAUAUAAUGAGUCAGUGAUGGUUUUAAUUUAUCAAGGUUGGACAAUAGUAUCAUAAAAUCAAAUAGAUAAUGUCCAGAACAAGCUUGAGAGUUUUCGGUUGUCCUGAACUUUCUUUCCUAUGCAAUUAUGUUACAAAAAAAAUCUUUGGUUUUAAAGAGCACUGCCUUAGUUUGUCCUUUGAUCAUCAAGCCUGCUUUAUAUUAAAGAACGAUUUUAAAAGGAAAUUUUACAAUUUCAUAACAUACAUUUUUUUUUAUCCUAAGAGACUGUACAAACUGAACAAAUAAAAAGCAGAUUUCCAUCAUUU
rnacentral:lncRNA from 1 species